AUUGUUCUGCUCUGUCAUCAAUACGUUUAAAUGUCUUACAAGAGAUAAGAUAUUUUCGUGAUUGGAGCAGUCGUGUGAAUUUCGUCUCUCUUCUACCUCUAUCUCUCUAUCUAUCUAUCUCCAUCUAUCUAUCUCCAUCUAUCUAUCUAUCUAUCUCUUUCUCAGUUUCUAGGUCCCUAACAAUCAGUCUCUUUAUCUCUCAGAUGCUGUUGGGAUGAAGUGAUCCCUAAGUGAUCCCUAAGUGAUCCCUAUUACCAACCACGUUCAAACCUACAACUAAUAGAUGGAGGACAACGCUAAAUCUAUCCCUAUCUACCAGUUUAAAUUCACAAGAAUUUCUAACGCUAAAGAUGU
rnacentral:lncRNA from 1 species